rnacentral:rRNA from 1 species
UACGUAGGGGGCAAGCGUUGUCCGGAUUUAUUGGGCGUAAAGAGCGUGUAGGCGGCCAGGUAGGUCCGUUGUGAAAACUCGAGGCUCAACCUCGAGACGCCGAUGGAAACCAUCUGGCUAGAGUCCGGAAGAGGAGAGUGGAAUUCCCGGUGUAGCGGUGAAAUGCGCAGAUAUCGGGAAGAACACCCGUGGCUAAGGCGGCUCUCUAGUACGGUACUGACGCUGAGACGCGAAGGCGUGGGGAGCAAACCGG